UGGAGAGUUUGAUCCUGGCUCAGGACGAACGCUGGCGGCGUGCCUAAUACAUGCAAGUUGAACGCUUCUUUCUUAUCGAACUUCGGUUCACCAAGAAAGAAGAGUAGCGAACGGGUGAGUAACACGUGGGUAACCUGCCCAUCAGCGGGGGAUAACACUUGGAAACAGGUGCUAAUACCGCAUAAUACUUUUUCUCUCAUGAGUGAAAGUUGAAAGGCGCUUUUGCGUCACUGAUGGAUGGACCCGCGGUGCAUUAGCUAGUUGGUAGGGUAACGGCCUACCAAGGCAACGAUGCAUAGCCGACCUGAGAGGGUGAUCGGCCACACUGGGACUGAGACACGGCCCAGACUCCUACGGGAGGCAGCAGUAGGGAAUCUUCGGCAAUGGACGAAAGUCUGACCGAGCAACGCCGCGUGAGUGAAGAAGGUUUUCGGAUCGUAAAACUCUGUUGUUAGAGAAGAACAAGGAUGAGAAGAGAAUGUUCAUCCCUUGACGGUAUCUAACCAGAAAGCCACGGCUAACUACGUGCCAGCAGCCGCGGUA
rnacentral:rRNA from 1 species